ACCUGAUCCCAUGUGAUUGAAGGCUGACUCCAUGUGAGUGAAGCCUGAUCAUCAUGUGAAUGAAGGCUGAUCCCAUGUGAGUGGAGG
rnacentral:miRNA from 1 species